rnacentral:rRNA from 1 species
GAUGAACGCUGGCGGCGUGCCUAAUACAUGCAAGUCGAGCGAACAGACGCGGCGCUUGCUCCUCUGACGUUAGCGGAGGACGGGUGAGUAACACGUGUAUAACGUCCCUAUCAGACUGGGAUCACUUCGGGACACCGGAGCUAAUACCGGAGAAUAUAUUGAAGCGCAUUGUUCAUUGGUGAAUGACGGUUUUGCUGUCUCUUAUAGAUGGUUCCGCGCCGCAUGAGCUAGUUGGUAAGGUAACGGCUUACCAAGGCAACGCUGCGUAGCCGACCUGAGAGGGUGAUCGGCCGCACUGGAACGGAGACACGGUCCAGACGCCUACGGGAGGCAGCAGUAGGGAAUCUGCCGCAAGGGGCGAAAGCUUGACGGAGCAACGCCGAGGGAGGGAGGAAGGUCUUCGGAUCGGAAAACUCUGUUAUUAGGGAAGAACAAAUGUGUAAGUAACUAUGCACGUCUUGACGGUACCUAAUCAGAAAGCCACGGCUAACUACGUG